rnacentral:rRNA from 1 species
GAUGAACGCUGGCGGCGUGCCUAAUACAUGCAAGUCGAGCGAACAGACGAGGAGCUUGCUCCUCUGACGUUAGCGGCGGACGGGUGAGUAACACGUGGAUAACCUACCUAUAAGACUGGGAUAACUUCGGGAAACCGGAGCUAAUACCGGAUAAUAUAUUGAACCGCAUGGUUCAAUAGUGAAAGACGGUUUUGCUGUCACUUAUAGAUGGAUCCGCGCCGCAUUAGCUAGUUGGUAAGGUAACGGCUUACCAAGGCAACGAUGCGUAGCCGACCUGAGAGGGUGAUCGGCCACACUGGAACUGAGACACGGUCCAGACUCCUACGGGAGGCAGCAGUAGGGAAUCUUCCGCAAAGGGCGAAAGCCUGACGGAGCAACGCCGCGUGAGUGAUGAAGGUCUUCGGAUCGUAAAACUCUGUUAUUAGGGAAGGACAAAUGUGUAAGUAACUAUGCACGUCUUGACGGUACCUAAUCAGAAAGCCACGGCUAACUACGUG